rnacentral:lncRNA from 1 species
UUGAGAAAAUUUCGAGUGGGAUCAAAUUAAUAGAUUUUUGACCUAUCCUGUCUGAACUCAUCCGUAUUUGGUCCAACCCGAUCUGACCUGAAAGUCACACAAGUAGUACUGGUAAAAUGAAACAUUGCUUCGUGCUGUGUUAUGUUGAGACUUGUAAUAUAUAUAUGUGUGUGUGUGUGUGUGAGUGAGCUGGAGCUGUUUGUUUAGCUAAGUAGAGCAUAGACUUUGGUUGCCUGUUGAAGGUCAUCAGUCUUUUUGCUUAUAAGUUUUUCUUGAUUUUGGUCUUACAUGGCUUGUGCAAUUCUUUAUUAGCAGAUCCUUCCCUCCACUAAUCUGGAUUUUGGAAGUAUUCCAUUUUCCAGAACCGUGGACUCUGCUCCCGCACUCACUCUCUCUUUAGUAGAUCCUCUUGGAUCCUGUAGGAUAUUCCAAAAUAGGUUCUUGAUAGCUAAUCACAAUCUUGCAUCCCCAUGCUCUCCCCCUCCUCUUCCUGCACUCCCUCGCACUCUCUUUAUGACAGAUCUAUCAAAUCCUACAGGGUUUUCUCAAACAAGCUCUACGUGAAAUCAAUACCUAGUCAGGGUCCUGUCCAGUUCAUACCUGAAUUGGAGAGGGUCAAGUAUCCAAUCACAACCAUUCAUGAUUGGCACGAUGGCUAUGAUUGGAUGGGCCACACCGACUUACUGUCCAUAUACCUCGGAUCUAAUCAUGUUCACCGUGCCAAUUAUGAAUGAUGGUGAUUGGAGAACAGACACUCCAUAGUUUAGGUCUGAUUAUUAUGGGGGAUUCGAACUCAUCAGCACCUUGAUAUUCAUAAAGUAAUAAGUAUUAGAUAUUCAUAGGUAAAGCUAAAAAGGCAAUAAAUAAAAUUUACAUUUCUCAAACAAAUUUUUAUCAACAAAUUUAUAAGGUGAAUAACUUAACAUCAAAAGAAUAUAUAUAGAAAUUGAUAGACCAAAAUGGUGGAAAAUGAAAUUAAAGUGAGCAUCUUGCUAACUGUAUGUCUAGUAAUUGAAAUUAUUCUCUUGUCCAUCACUUUAAACUUGCCAUGAUUCUCAUAGAAAACUAAGUAAGAUGAUUUUUAUUUUACUCCAUUACUCCUAGUGUAAAUUAUUUUCUUAGAAUCAUAAGUUAUCUUUGUGUUCGUUGUUGUCUUCAGACUGGAACCUAUGCUCAAGAAUUGCUCCAUUGAUCAUUUUCUACUUCAGACAUGCUUCUUGAAGUUUUCUGUUUGGUGAAUUUCGAAGUUUGUUUCAAAUCCAAAAAUUCAAUAUCUUCCCCCGGAUUAAUGAAUCAGGUUAUGUUUUUUCUUUUCUUUUAGGUGCAGAAUGAAGAGCAGUGUGUCAAUUUUUGAAAAUUUCAUUGCAAAUGGAGUAAAUAUAAAAUACUACUAAUUGAAGAAUUUUUUUCUCCUUUGCUUAGCUUUCUUGUUCUCUCUCUCUCUCUCUCUCUCUNNNNNNNNNNNNNNNNNNNNUGCAAAAUGCAAAAUUUACACUCAUACUUGAAAGUUGAACUAGAAUCACCAAAAUGAAAAGAUAAA